UUUAUAGGCAAAACUCAAAACAAGGAUCAGAUCGAAUGUGCUUCCCAGGAUGCAGAUGGAAGAGAUAAUUGUACAUGAGAGGACCCUGACCUCACAGAGUUACUGUGGAGUUAUGGAGAGAGGCUGAAGAACAUUCUUUUUUGUAUCCAAUUCUCAUUCCUGUGGCUGAAACACUGCCUUCACUAACCAUAGAAGCUGAAGUCUGUGGAAGCUGUGUCAAAGAUUCUCAUAGCCCAUCAAGCACUGUGUGAGUGAUCCCUACAGAACACCUCUGAAGACGGCUGCUCUUCCACUCCACCUUGCGGAAAGGUUGCUAUCCUGGCUUCAUGCAUAAUUUCAAGUAUGUCAAAUAAAAGAAACAAAGUCUUUCAGGAGGAAACUACAACUUCAGUGUCUUAACUGUUUGUUAUGCAGGUUUCAAAUAGAGUUUAGGUAAAGAAAAUGGUCCUAAGAUACAUAGUAGGAAUAUCUGCUUUUUUUUUCCAGUGACAUCUAAGGAUGGUGAAUGUUUGCUACUUCAUCUCAAAGAAUUUCAUUUCAUUCAUAAAGAAGUUUAGAAACUCAAACUAAAAAAAAAAAUCCUAUUUUAGGAGAUUCAUUUUUGACAUUAAUAUAUUAAUGCUUUGAGAAGCCCUGUGUGGUGGAUUGAAUAGGUUUGGCCCCCAUAGACUCAUGUGUUAGAAUGUUUGGUCCACAGGGAGUGGCACUAUUAGGAGGUGUGGCCUUGUUCCAGUAGGUGUGGCCUUGUUUUAGUAGGUGUGACCUUGUUGGAAGAAGUGUGAGGGUAGGCUUUGAGAUCUCCUGGCUGCUUUCAGAAGACUCCUUUAGCUGCCUUCCAAUCAAGAUGUCGAACCCUUCGUUCCUUCUUCAGUAUCUUAUCUACCUGGAUGUCUCCACGUUUCCCACUAUGAUAAUAAUGGAUUAAGCAUCUAAAACUGUGAGCCAG
rnacentral:lncRNA from 1 species